rnacentral:misc_RNA from 1 species
GGAUGAAGAACGUAGCGAAAUGCGAUACUUGGUGUGAAUUGCAGAAUCCCGUGAACCAUCGAGUCUUUGAACGCAAGUUGCGCCCGAAGCCACUAGGCCGAGGGCACGCCUGCCUGGGCGUCACACGCCGUUGCCCCCCCAUCUACUCCUUCGGGAUUGCGGGGGGGCGGAUGAUGGCCUCCCGUGCGCCUAGCCGCGCGGUUGGCAUAAAUACCAAGUCCUCGGCGACGCACGCCACGACAAUCGGUGGUUGCGAAACCUCGGUUGCCCGUCGUGUGCGUUCGUCGCGCAUCGAGGGCUCGAAAAAAUGCUCGGCUCCGGCUGGGCUUUCAACGCGACCCCAGGUCAGGCGGGGUUACCCGCUGAAUUUAAGCAUAUCAAUAAGCGGAGGA